CUUUACUUUUCUCUAUAUUGAAUUUCAUUUUAUUAGAUAUGGCCCAGUGUUCUAGUCUGUCAAGACCCAUCUGGAUCUUGAGCCUAUCUUCUAGGGUGCCAGCUAUUCCUGCCAACUUAGUAUCAUCUGCAAAUUUGGGUCCAAAGCAACACAAGUUCUCCUUCCCUAUGAAGAAGCUUCCCAAUGAUUUUGCCAGAAAAAUUAGACUUACAACGUGAAAGUUGCUUAUCUCAAGUCAGAUUAUUCGUCCAGCUCCCUCCUGUCUACCACAGGAAUGAGCAACCCCAGCAAAAUUGGUGCUCCUUGACCUACUUUCAAAUGGGUUCUGCAAGCCAGCGAUUCCAAAUACCCAGGAAAAGCUUGUUUUCCACAAGUAACAGAGAAGAGCAUAUAGUAAGAAGAGUUCCAGAAGAGGGAGGGGGAAGAGCACCAGAGGUAUUUUUGGCUUCAGUGUGACCUACCUUGCAUCUUCCUGUAAAAGAAAUGUGACCCUUAGAACAGUUGUGCACUUUUGUGCACCAACCCUAACUUAACCCAUCCUCAACUAGUACUGACAAUAAUAAUUCAGGGUUUCUCAGACCUGUCCAAAAAUGACGAGGACUGAAUCUGAAACCUCAGCAUAGAAAGGAUGUAUGCUAUCACACAAUUAUGUAAAGACCUUUGAAGCAUGCUGGAACAAUAGCCUUCCAAAUCCUAGGAAGAUAAUUUCAUUGGUGAAGAUAGUAGAACCUCCAAAUGAAUGGCUACAAGAAAAAUAAGAUCAUCAACUUCUUUUGAACAAACACAUUUUUUCAAAGGCUCCCAAUAGAGGCUGAUUGAUACAAUUGUAAACAAUAAUGGCUUUGCCCAAAAUCUGGAAGCCAUUUCAUUUGCUAAUAUAGCAUUUAUAUUCUGCCUUUUUGUAAAUUUCCCUCAUCCUUUCCAAAAUGCAUGAGAUAAGUAGAGAGGCCUAUUUAUUGAUUUACAAAUAAGGCAUCCAGUCCAAUAUCCAGGACUGAGAGACAAUGACAGGCCUCACUUGAUCCAAUUUCAACUUUCAAUAUCUUAGCCAAUACCAAUGUUUUCUUCCUCAAGGCUAUGGCUUCAAUAUCUUAGCCACUACAUCACUCCAUUGGUUUUGUUCAUUUCAAAGCCAAGUGUGGAAACAUUAAAUUAUCAAUUUAUUUUAUCUACAGUAAACUCCGAUACUCAUAAUAACAAAAAUCCCCAGAUUUUGUAACCUGGGGGAAUGUGGUACAGGAUGAUGUAUUAGGCAAAAAAACACAAAUAAAUCUAUGUGCUGGCAUAAAGCCACCACAGGUUUGGUAGCCAUGAACCAGCAACCUAGAUUAUGUUGGCUACAGUUUGAACACUAGGUUACAACAGUAGAAUUCACAGAUCAUGUGAAACCAUGAGUCCUGUUUUAUAAAUCAUAAAGCCUGGGUUAGUCUUUUAGGUCAAAACCAAGGCAAUUAUGUUUCAGAAUAGUGCAUUGUGUUAAGCUAUUCC
rnacentral:lncRNA from 1 species